ACGGAGAGAGGGCGGCGGGAAGAAAAGCGCGGGAAGCGACAGCGGCGUUCGGGGCUCCUAUUGGCUGGCGGGCUGAAGGGACAGCUAUAAAAGGUGCGCGCGCGGGAAGGUGAGUCAGACGUUCUCCACAGCGCGUGAGAAGAAGCGGCGUGCCGUGAGGGAAAGGCGGCGACGACGGCAAGCGGUCUCCAGAGUUGAGGAGCGGCGGGGCCAGGAUAAACUUGGCCAGUCUGCCCAACUCUGUGAUCCCCCGCAGCACCGGCUGGAAGCGCGCCGUGUGCCAGAGAGGAGCUGCUGCAGGAGGCAGGAGCAAGCAAGAGGAGGAUGUGGAAGCGUGCAGACGCGGGGGGGAAGGAGAGGCACUCUGGGCAAAGCACUUGUCCCGUUAGCGGGGCUGCAGUCACAUUUAGUCCCAUUUGAGUUUGAGCGUUGCCGGCGCCUUGGCCGGCUUUGUGCUGGGCGACCUCCCUGUAAGCAGGGCUCGGGUCUUUGCUUUUGCUGUAGUUGGGCUUUUGCCUUGCUGCUCCUUUGGCUGCCUGGGGAGCGUGGCCCCCUGUAACGCAGGGCGAGAGCCACCUCUCCGCACCUGAGUGGGAAACGGAGCUCGCCGGACCCCGAGGCCGCCCUGUAAGCAGGGUAGUGCCUUUUCCCCGCCCCUCUUCCUCCUCCGGCCCCUCGGCAUCGUUGCCUGGUGGUGGCCUGUCAAUGCGACGGCCCCGUACUCGGGGUGCGCGUUGCGGCAUCUGGCCUUUGGCUUUAGCUGGGAAGCCCCUUGGCACGUUGAGGUCUGCGGCCUCCGUGCAGGCUAGGGACAGGUCACAGGCUCUUGUCUGUUGCCCGCGGUUGUGGGUUUAUUCCCAGGGUUUGGCUGCGCUGCGUUGUCCUUCCCUUCUGGAAAGUUGCAUCUGUGUGCGUGUGUUCCCCUUCCUUUCCAUGUUUGUGACUGUGGUGUGACUGAGCGACUGAGCUUUCCCUUUAGGCUCCCACAAAAAUCGCUGCAGCCUAGCUUCGGCUUCCCAGGGGGGAAUGGAGGACUUUGGUGCAGGCCGCAAAAGGGGUGUUCCCUCUCAGUCCCGCGAGCGCAGCGAGUGUCCUGUCUUCCUCUAAAUUAUUUAGCAUAGAUCAGAGCCACGUGGCAGUUCAGUGGCCGAGGCCGCCCUGUAGCCAGGGCUUGGGCCAGUCCUUUAGUGGGCGCCUGCUCCGCUGGCGGUGUGACAGCCCCGUAGUCGGGGCGUGUGUCCCAAGCUGCGGAGCCCUCUGUCCCCCGAGCAGCCCUCCCGCCCGCCCUGUAAUCAGGUGCGGGGAGGCUGCGGCAUUGCAGCCGGCUGCUCUAGCCUUCCAGCUGGUGGGAGUGACCCCUCCCUGUCCCGUCAGAGGGUGCAGGUUGAGGUGCUGCUUGUGUGUGCGGUGACCUCCCCAGUCGGUGGGUCGAGGUUGCUGGCGGGGUUCCCAAAGGCAAGAGGUUGGUGAUGUUGUGCUGCUGCCGGGCGGGCCAGCCUGUAACUCAGGCGUUGGCGGGAGCCUCGUGCUCCGCGGGGCUUCCUGGGGAGGGUGGGGUGUGGGGGUACCGUCCUGUAGGCAGGGCUGCGUGUGCCCCCCGUGAGUGCUUGGUGAGCUGCAUUCAGAGAGACCCCCUGUACUCAGGCGGGAAUGUGGCCCCGGCCUUUCAGAGGCACGGGGCUGCGAGACGUGGGCUUGGGCUUGCGCCCUGCCCGGAAUCAGGGCUGGGGUCCCCACCGCGGCAUUUGGCCGUGCCGCCCCGCUGCCUGGCAGCUGAGAGUCGCUCCCGCCGCUGGGGGGGAAACCGAGCUCUGUGGCUCCAGGGGUGUCGUCCACCCGCCUGUAAUCAGGGUCUGGGUGCGCGAGCGCUUGUGCUCAGCUGGCAGCCUGUGUGGGGUGACCGCCCCGUUAGCGGGGUGCGGGUCGAGGUGCCCCCGGACUGGGAGAGAAGGAGCCUCCCGCGGCCGGUAGGGAUGGGGGCUGCCCUGUAAGCCGGGGAGCGCCAGUGCCCCGCAGUCCCAGGCCCUUUGCAAUGGAGGCAGUGGCGGGGGUCCCCUGUAAUCAGGGAAGCUGACUCUUUGGCCGCUGCUAUGCGUGUGUGCCCAGCUCCAUUUGCCCAGUGUGCCCGCCUCUGUGAUCCCUCGCAGCACCGGCUGGAAGCGCGCC